rnacentral:rRNA from 1 species
GUGGGGAAUAUUGCACAAUGGGCGAAAGCCUGAUGCAGCGACGCCGCGUGCGGGAUGACGGCCUUCGGGUUGUAAACCGCUUUCAGCAGGGAAGAAGCUUUUGUGACGGUACCUGCAGAAGAAGCGCCGGCUAACUACGUGCCAGCAGCCGCGGUAAUACGUAGGGCGCGAGCGUUAUCCGGAAUUAUUGGGCGUAAAGAGCUUGUAGGCGGUUUGUCGCGUCUGCUGUGAAAAGUUCGGGCUUAACCCGGACCGUGCAGUGGGUACGGGCUGACUGGAGUGCAGUAGGGGAGACUGGAAUUCCUGGUGUAGCGGUGAAAUGCGCAGAUAUCAGGAGGAACACCGAUGGCGAAGGCAGGUCUCUGGGCUGUUACUGACGCUGAGAAGCGAAAGCAUGGGGAGCGAACAGGAUUAGAAACCCUAGUAGUCC